AACGAACGCUGGCGGCAGGCUUAACACAUGCAAGUCGAGCGCCCCGCAAGGGGAGCGGCAGACGGGUGAGUAACGCGUGGGAAUCUACCCAUCUCUACGGAAUAACGCAUGGAAACGUGUGCUAAUACCGUAUACGUCCUUCGGGAGAAAGAUUUAUCGGAGAUGGAUGAGCCCGCGUUGGAUUAGCUAGUUGGUGGGGUAAAGGCCAACCAAGGCGACGAUCCAUAGCUGGUCUGAGAGGAUGAUCAGCCACACUGGGACUGAGACACGGCCCAGACUCCUACGGGAGGCAGCAGUGGGGAAUACUGGACAAUGGGCGCAAGCCUGAUCCAGCCAUGCCGCGUGAGUGAUGAAGGCCCUAGGGUUGUAAAGCUCUUUCACCGGUGAAGAUAAUGACGGUAACCGGAGAAGAAGCCCCGGCUAACUUCGUGCAGCAGCCGCGGUAAAAC
rnacentral:rRNA from 1 species